GGCGAAUAGCUCAUUAACACGUGGCCAAACUACCCUUCGGAGCACGAUACCCUCGGGAAACUGAGGCUAAUAGUGCAUACCACAAUCCAGCUGGAAUGAGGAUUGUGCCAAACGCUCCGGCGCCGAAGGAUGUGGCUGCGGCCGAUUAGGUAGACGGUGGGGUAACGGCCCACCGUGCCAAUAAUCGGUACGGGUCAUGAGAGUGAGAACCCGGAGACGGAAUCUGAGACAAGAUUCCGGGCCCUACGGGGCGCAGCAGGCGCGAAACCUUUACACUGCACGCCAGUGCGAUAAGGGAAUCCCAAGUGCGCAGGCAUAGAGCCUGCGCUUUUGUACACCGUAGGGAGGUGUACGAAUAAGGGCUGGGCAAGACCGGUGCCAGCCGCCGCGGUAAUACCGGCAGCCCGAGUGAUGGCCGAUCUUAUUGGGCCUAAAGCGUCCGUAGCUGGCCGCGCAAGUCCAUCGGAAAAUCCACCCGCUCAACGGGUGGGCGUCCGGUGGAAACUGCGUGGCUUGGGACCGGAAGGCGCGACGGGUACGUCCGGGGUAGGAUUGUAUCUCCCGUUAAUCCUGGUACUGGACCGCCGAUUGGCAAAGCAA
rnacentral:rRNA from 1 species